CAAUAGCGUAUAUUAAAGUUGUUGCAGUUAAAAAGCUCGUAGUUGGAUUUCUGGUGGGAGCGAUCGGUCUGGCGCUUAGCGCGAGUACUUGCAUCGUCUCCGGCCAUCCUUGGGGAGAGUUUGUCUGGCAUUAAGUUGUCGGGCAGAGGAUCCUCAUCGUUUACUGUGAAAAAAUUAGAGUGUUCAAAGCAGGCUUAUGCCGUUGAAUAUAUUAGCAUGGAAUAAUAAGAUAGGACUUUGGUACUAUUUUGUUGGUUUGCGCACCAAAGUAAUGAUUAAUAGGGACAGUUGGGGGUAUUCGUAUUCCGUUGUCAGAGGUGAAAUUCUUGGAUUUACGGAAGACGAACUACUGCGAAAGCAUUUACCAAGGAUGUUUUCAUUAA
rnacentral:rRNA from 1 species